rnacentral:rRNA from 1 species
AACGAACGCUGGCGGCAUGCCUAACACAUGCAAGUCGAACGAGACCUUCGGGUCUAGUGGCGCACGGGUGCGUAACGCGUGGGAACCUGCCCUUAGGUUCGGAAUAACUCCCCGAAAGGGGUGCUAAUACCGGAUAAUGUCUUCGGACCAAAGAUUUAUCGCCUUUGGAUGGGCCCGCGUUGGAUUAGCUAGUUGGUAGGGUAAAAGCCUACCAAGGCGACGAUCCAUAGCUGGUCUGUGAGGAUGAUCAGCCACACUGGGGCUGAGACACGGCCCAGACUCCUACGGGGGGCAGCAGUGGGGAAUAUUGGACAAUGGGCGAAAGCCUAAUCCAGCAAUGCCGCGUGAGUGAUGAAGGCCUUAGGGUUGUAAAGCUCUUUUACCCGGGAUGAUAAUGACAGUACCGGGAGAAUAAGCUCCGGCUAACUCCGUG